CCUACGGGCGGCAGCAGUGGGGAAUAUUGGACAAUGGGGGGAACCCUGAUCCAGCCAUGCCGCGGGUGUGAAGAAGGCCCUCGGGUUGUAAAGCACUUUCAGUGAGGAAGAACGCCUGGUGGUUAAUACCCAUCAGGAAAGACAUCACUCACAGAAGAAGCACCGGCUAACUCCGUGCCAGCAGCCGCGGUAAUACGGAGGGUGCGAGCGUUAAUCGGAAUUACUGGGCGUAAAGCGCGCGUAGGUGGCUUGAUAAGCCGGUUGUGAAAGCCCCGGGCUCAACCUGGGAACGGCAUCCGGAACUGUCAAGCUAGAGUGCAGGAGAGGAAGGUAGAAUUCCCGGUGUAGCGGUGAAAUGCGUAGAGAUCGGGAGGAAUACCAGUGGCGAAGGCGGCCUUCUGGACUGACACUGACACUGAGGUGCGAAAGCGUGGGUAGCAAACAGGAUUAGAUACCCUGGUAGUC
rnacentral:rRNA from 1 species